UACAGGGGGGGCAAGCGUUGUUCGGAAUUACUGGCGUAAAGGGCCAGUAGGCGGCCAACUAAGUCAGACGUGAAAUCCCUCGGCUUAACCGGGGAACUGCGUCUGAUACUGGAUGGCUUGAGUUUGGGAGAGGGAUGCGGAAUUCCAGGUGGUAGCGGUGGAAUGCGCAGAUAUCAGGAGGAACACCAAUAGCGAAGGCAGCUCGCUGGGACGUUACUGACACUGGAGGCGCGAAAGCCGUGGGGAGCGAACAGGA
rnacentral:rRNA from 1 species